rnacentral:lncRNA from 1 species
GGGUGUUACGGUACAGAGUCAAUGUGGAGGCUAUAUACAGGGGGUACCAGUACAGAGUCAAUGUGGAGGCUAUAUACAGGGGGUACCAGUACAGAGUCAAUGUGGAGGCUAUAUACAGGGGGGUACCAGUACAGAGUCAAUGUGGAGGCUAUAUACAGGGGGUACCAGUACAGAGUCAAUGUGGAGGCUAUAUACAGGGUGUUACGGUACAGAGUCAAUGUGGAGGCUAUAUACAGGGGGUACCAGUACAGAGUCAAUGUGGAGGCUAUAUACAGGGUGUUACGGUACAGAGUCAAUGUGGAGGCUAUAUACAGGGGGCACCAGUACAGAGUCAGUGUGGAGACUAUAUACAGGGGGUACCGGUACAGAGUCAGUGUGGAG